UAUCCAUUUUAUCGUUUCACUUUCUUUUGGAAUAAACUUAGUCAUAUAUUGUUUACAUAUCAAGAUAACCAACAAAUGUUUGUGGAUAAAAUUGAAUGGAUAUGAUGGAUUCUCUGUGCUCCUUUAUUUUUUGGCUAUAGAAGGAAGGGGAGAAUACAUAAAACUACAUACCUCACAUAAAGUCUUCCUCAUUGGUUGCAACUAGCAUAUGCUCUUUUUUAAGGUUUUCCUUGAUGUAAAGGAUAGUUGAGGCAUUCUCCUAAGCCAAUGGAAAAUAAAAGUUCGAAGUUUUAAUACCCUAAAUAAGAGGAGAUAGAAGGUGAUUUUCACAAUGGUGUUUCAUACUUGCUAUUGGGUGGUUUACGUAUGUUUUUGGGGUGAUGACUUUCCUUAUACAAGUAUGUCACCAUUCCUUCAUAAACUUGUACAAUCUUAGUGUGAGAUUUUACUUUGAUUCUCACCUUAGUCUUUAUUUUGUCCUUUCUUUGAUGGGCAAUAAAAAAAGUAAGUUUGCCUCAUCGAAUCUGAAAUAGACUAAAGGAGAAGAAUUCAUGGGAGAUGGUUUCUAAGGUUCUUUAAGAGAAUUCAACAUUUUUUGCACUGUAUUUUUUCUAAAGGGUUACUAGGUUUUGCUCUUCCAUUGGGUGAAGAAAUGGUCUAACAUAAAGGUAAACCAUGGAUUCAUAGGGAAAACUUGUACUGACAAGGGAGAGCUUGAAUGACUCUUAAUAGGAUUAUUACAUAUCGCAUAAGCUUUGAAGAUGAAUUAGUUAUGUUUUAUAAAACAGAGAGGUUAUGCAUUGCUUUUUGAUUUGAAGUUUGAUUGUUUGUAACCUUUCAAUAUUUUUUGUUGUGAGUCAUUAUCAGAAUGAUUAAUAAUUGUUACUGUAAAACAUGUUUAUG